GCCUGGGUAGCUCAGUCAGUUAAGUGUCUGACUUCAGAUCAGGUCAUGAUCUCAUGGUUUGUGAGUUCGAGCCCCACAUCAGGUU
rnacentral:tRNA from 1 species